UACGUAGGGGCCAAGCGUUGUCCGGAUUUAUUGGGCGUAAAGAGCUCGUAGGCGGUUCGGUAAGUCAGCUGUGAAAUCUCCACGCUCAACGUGGAGGGGUCAGCUGAUACUGCCGUGACUUGAGUCUGGUAGGGGAGUGCGGAAUUCCCGGUGUAGCGGUGAAAUGCGCAGAUAUCGGGAGGAACACCAGUGGCGAAGGCGGCACUCUGGGCCAGUACUGGACGCUGAGGAGCGAAAAGCGUGGGGAGCGAACAGG
rnacentral:rRNA from 1 species